rnacentral:rRNA from 1 species
GACGAACGCUGGCGGCGUGCUUAACACAUGCAAGUCGAACGAAGAGCGACGGAAGCUUGCUUCUAUCAAUCUUAGUGGCGAACGGGUGAGUAACGCGUAAUCAACCUGCCCUUCAGAGGGGGACAACAGUUGGAAACGACUGCUAAUACCGCAUACGAUCUAACCUCGGCAUCGAGGAUAGAUGAAAGGUGGCCUCUACAUGUAAGCUAUCACUGAAGGAGGGGAUUGCGUCUGAUUAGCUAGUUGGAGGGGUAACGGCCCACCAAGGCGAUGAUCAGUAGCCGGUCUGAGAGGAUGAACGGCCACAUUGGGACUGAGACACGGCCCAGACUCCUACGGGAGGCAGCAGUGGGGAACCUUCCGCAAUGGACGAAAGUCUGACGGAGCAACGCCGCGUGAGUGAUGACGGCCUUCGGGUUGUAAAGCUCUGUUAAUCGGGACGAAAGGCCUUCUUGCGAAUAGUGAGAAGGAUUGACGGUACCGGAAUAGAAAGCCACGGCUAACUACGUG